rnacentral:rRNA from 1 species
UACGGGGGGGGGCAAGCGUUGUUCGGAAUUACUGGGCGUAAAGGGCUCGUAGGCGGCCAACUAAGUCGGAUGUGAAAUCCCCAGGCUUAACCUGGGAACUGCAUCCGAUACUGGAUGGCUUGAAUCCGGGAGAGGGAUGCAGAAUUCCAGGUGUAGCGGUGAAAUGCGUAGAUAUCAGGAGGAACACCGGUGGCGAAGGCGGCUAUCUGGACAGAGUCUGACGCUGAGGCGCGAAAGCUAGGGGAGCAAACAGG